GUGUCAGCAGCCGCGGUAAUACGGAGGAUGCAAGCGUUAUCCGGAAUGAUUGGGCGUAAAGGGUCCGCAGGUGGCAGUGUAAGUCUGCUGUCAAAGAAUGAGGCUCAACCUCAUCAAGGCAGUGGAAACUACACAGCUAGAGUACGGUCGGGGUAGAAGGAAUUCCUGGUGUAGCGGUGAAAUGCGUAGAGAUCAGGAAGAACACCGGUGGCGAAAGCGUUCUGCUAGGCCUGUACUGACACUGAGGGACGAAAGCUAGGGGAGCGAAUGGGAUUAGAAACCCUAGUAGUCC
rnacentral:rRNA from 1 species